ensembl:lncRNA INTS6-AS1 INTS6 antisense RNA 1
GCCGCGUCCGCGCGCGCGGGGCGGCCGCGGCGGUGAGCCUGCGCGUCAGGGCCGCCGGCCUCUCCUUGGCUGUUGGAGAGCCAUAGAAUACCUGUUUCAGAGCUGAAGGGGACCUGAGCCCAUGAUAAUCCAUUACCUCGUGAGAAAGCGGAAAAACUGACUUCAGCUUGCCCAGAUGGCGCAGAGAAUGGGUUUCCCGUAACCCCGCCUGUGUCUUUCCUUCAGCCUCGUCCCAAAUGCCGUGGGAGGGAAGGCACUCUCUGUCAAGCUGCUGUCACCUUACCUGAAGUAAGGAGUCCACGCCUGCAUGUCCGAGGAAAACAGUUUUCUCAAACACAUUAGUUGAAAAACUGAAGACGCUGCCUAAAAUACAAGCUGAGUUAGAGACAGCCCUUGUAAGACUAGGUAGGUAUUUACAGGGCCUCUCCCACUAGCUUUGUUUUUCCAGAGUUUGUUCUUUAUCCGGAAAUUCUUAAUUUGCCUACUGAUCAUUUAAAGAAAGGGUUCUAUUAACAUUGACACAGAAGAGACACUUUGUGGCACUUUUUAAAAAUCUGAGUCUCGUGACUUGGUAUAACUUCUGAAACUUACUGUUAAUUUAUAGCAGAGCUAUUUGAGUAAUAUGCUCUUCUAUGAGUAUGAACAAUAGAAGAAGUGUGAUUUUUAAAGUGAUUUGGACUACAAAAUAAGAGCAUGGAAUAUAGGCUUUACAGCCAGUACUUGCUGAGGAUGUACUGUGUAUUAGGUGUGGUGCAUAUAAAAAAUAAAUAAAAUGUGGUCCCUGUCUUCAAAGAGCUUAUGUUUUCUAGGAAAAUGCUACAUAUUACUAGCUACUCCAAGGCAGAAAGUUGUUAGACACCAAAUCAGAAAAAAUAAAAAUGUAUUACCUUGGGGUGAUGCAGGAAC